GACGAACGCUGGCGGCGUGCUUAACACAUGCAAGUCGAACGGAAAGGCCCUGCUUUUGUGGGGUGCUCGAGUGGCGAACGGGUGAGUAACACGUGAGUAACCUGCCCUUGACUUUGGGAUAACUUCAGGAAACUGGGGCUAAUACCGGAUAGGAGCUCCUGCUGCAUGGUGGGGGUUGGAAAGUUUCGGCGGUUGGGGAUGGACUCGCGGCUUAUCAGCUUGUUGGUGGGGUAGUGGCUUACCAAGGCUUUGACGGGUAGCCGGCCUGAGAGGGUGACCGGCCACAUUGGGAAUGAGAUACGGCCCAGACUCCCACGGGGGGGAGCAGGGGGGAAUAUGGAAAAAGGGGCGGGAGCCGGAUGCAGCAAGCCCCGGGGCGGGAGGACGGCCUUCGGGUUGAAAACCGCUUUCCCCUGUGACGAAGGGGGAGGGAGGGGAAUUGGUAAAGAAGCACCGGCUAACUACGG
rnacentral:rRNA from 1 species